AUCUUUCAGUCGUCUCUCACCCUAAACCCUCACUCUCUCACCCAAACUCCAAAUCAGAGAAACGAAUCACACCAUUGAACCAUUUUCUUUUAAACCCGCCAUCGUCAAAACCAGUUUCAAUCUUGAUUUUGUUCAAGGGUUUUACUUGAUUUCUACAAGAUCUUGAGAUAUACACAUGGAUUGGCUGCAACUCAGCUAAAUUUGGUCACUUAUAUGCAGCUGCCCCUACUAGACCAAGUAAUACAAUGAGUGUGACUUCCAUUCUUGGAGGUGCUUCAGAUAACACCGGCUCAAGCAUUGCUCGCCGCUUAGUGUUCUUAUAGGCAAAGCUGGGGAGACCAUUCAGUUAUUGCAGAAUAAUUCAGGAGCUAAAAUUCAAAUCACAAGAGGUUCUGAAGCUGAUAGAUAUGCAACAACCAGACCUGUUGAAUUGAAUUCAGAUACAAGUCCCAAAUGAGAAGGUUGGUUUGAUCGUUGGUAAGGGAGGUGAAACAAUUAAAUCCUUGCAGACAAGAUCUGGAGCAAUUGCUUGUGAUGCUUCAUUGAUUUCAAAAACGGUUGGAGAUGAUGAGUAUUGGAGUGGAAUUGCUCAGGGAGAUGGUGAGUAUUCGGAUGCAGAUGCUCAGACUAUGCAGUGGCUUAGUGGCAAACACGGUUGACCUUAUCUAGAAAGAAUGUGAAAAAUUAAAGAUUGUCUGGUGAUAGUUCUGUGCAUUUAUCUCAGACCUGGUGACAUUUUUGAACUGUUUCCAAGGAUUAAGUUUUAGUAACUAUGUGAUUUCAUUUUAAUGGUACAGUUUUCCCCUUUGGUUGUCUGAAUUCUGUUUGUGUCGCAUGAAUGAAUGUACACUUAAUUUCCCUUUUGGUUAGCGAGGAAGUGGUUUUAAAUUAUUUUUUUUUCCUUCAAAUGUACAGGAUGAUUCAUUCACUUCUUGAUACUUUCAGGAACUAGCUGAAAGUCCAGAUGCUGAAUAUUCAGAUGAGGAUGCUUAGGAACUAGCUGAAAGUGGAUUGUAGAAAUUCAAUCACAAUGUUUUGUCGAGGUAUGUGUCUUCGCAUACUUAUCAUGCCUACGGUUUUCACUGCCUAUAUAUGAUGCCGUCACUCUCUUCCCGAUGGUCUCAAGAGGGUUUUUGAUGUCAUGGUUGAUGGUGGGAUCGUUGUUGCUGCUAGAUAAGGAAAUGUUGGAAGGGUUGUGCUUCUACGGGAUCUUCUCUCAAGGAAGCUGGUGCCAAGGUCCUAAUGACUGAAAUUGUGGUUGAAAUUCUUUUAGGACUUUGUAUCACUUCUCUUUAAGAAACCUUAAUAAUAUGGGUUAAAUCCUUUUUUUUAA